GCAGUAGCCGCGGUAAAACGUAGGUGGCAAGCGUUGUCCGGAAUUAUUGGGCGUAAAGGGCUCGCAGGCGGUUUCUUAAGUCUGAUGUGAAAGCCCCCGGCUCAACCGGGGAGGGUCAUUGGAAACUGGGAAACUUGAGUGCAGAAGAGGAGAGUGGAAUUCCACGUGUAGCGGUGAAAUGCGUAGAGAUGUGGAGGAACACCAGUGGCGAAGGCGACUCUCUGGUCUGUAACUGACGCUGAGGAGCGAAAGCGUGGGGAGCGAACAGGAUUAGAUACCCCCGUAGUCCCUGUCUCUUAUAC
rnacentral:rRNA from 1 species